rnacentral:rRNA from 1 species
UGGGUUUAGUCCCGCACGAGCGCACCCUCAUCCUUAGUUGCCAUCAUUGAGUUGGGCACUCUAAGGAAACUGCCCCGGUUAACGGGGAGGAAGGUGGGGAUGACGUCAAGUCCUCAUGGCCUUUAUGUCCAGGGCUACACACGUGCUACAAUGGGCGGUACAAAGGGUUGCAAUACCGCGAGGUGGAGCUAAUCCCAAAAAGCCGCUCUCAGUUCAGAUUGGAGUCUGCAACUCGACUCCAUGAAGGCGGAAUCGCUAGUAAUCGCGGAUCAGCAUGCCGCGGUGAAAACGUUCCCGGGCCUUGUACACACCGCCCGUCACACCAUGAGAGCUGACUGUACCAGAAGCGUUGGGCUAACCCUGAGUUCGCUUAGGGAGGCAGGCGCCUAAGGUAUGGUUGGUGAUUGGGGUGAAGCGUAACAAGGUAACCCGGGCGGCCGAA